AAGGAACGCUGGCAGCGUGCAUGACACAUGCAAGUCGAACGAUGAAGCAUUCUUCGGAAUGCGGAAGAGUGGCGAACGGGUGAGGAACACGUAAGAAUCUGCCCCUCGGUCGGGGACAACUCUUGGAAACGAGAGCUAAUACCCGAUACGCUGUGGAGUGAAAGAAUUUCGCCGAGGGAUGAUCUUGCGUCUGAUUAGCUAGUUGGUGUGGUAAUGGCAUACCAAGGCGACGAUCAGUAGCUGGUCUGAGAGGAUGAACAGCCACAUUGGAACUGAGACACGGUCCAAACUCCUACGGGAGGCGGCAGUGGGGAAUUUUCCGCAAUGGACGAAAGUCUGACGGAGCGACGCUGCGUGAAGGAUGAAGGCCUGCGGGUUGUAAACUUCUUUUCUCGAAGAAGAAGCUCUGACGGUAUUCGAGGAAUAAGCAUCGGCUAACUCCGUGCCAGCAGCCGCGGUAAUACGGAGGAUGCAAGUGUUAUUCGGAAUGAUUGGGCGUAAAGCGUCUGUAGGCUGUAUAGAAAGUCUUUUGUUAAAUGCCUCGGCUCAACCGAGAUCCAGCAAAGGAAACUUCUAUACUUGAGGGAAGUAGAGGUACAGGGAAUUCCCGGUGGAGCGGUGAAAUGCGUAGAUAUCGGGAGGAACACCAAUAUGGCGAAGGCACUGUACUGGGCUUUACCUGACGCUCAGAGACGAAAGCUAAAGUAGUGAUUAGGAUUAGAUACCCUAGUAAUUUUAGCCGUAAACGAUGGAAACUCACUGCCGAGCGAAAUACAACGAGCGGUGGUCAAGCUAACGCGUGAAGUUUCCCGCCUGGGGAUUACGCUUGCAAAAGUG
rnacentral:rRNA from 1 species